rnacentral:tRNA from 1 species
AGGGAUGUAAGUCAGUGGUAGAAUGCUUGCCUAGCAUGCAGAAGGCCUGAGUUUGAUCCCCAGCAACCCCC